rnacentral:rRNA from 1 species
UACGUAGGGUGCGAGCGUUAAUCGGAAUUACUGGGCGUAAAGCGUGCGCAGGCGGUUUUGUAAGCCAGAUGUGAAAUCCCCGGGCUCAACCUGGGAACUGCAUCUGUGACUGCAUCGCUGGAGUGCGGCAGAGGGGGAUGGAAUUCCGCGUGUAGCAGUGAAAUGCGUAGAUAUGCGGAGGAACACCGAUGGCGAAGGCAAUCCCCUGGGCCUGCACUGACGCUCAUGCACGAAAGCGUGGGGAGCAAACAGG